GAGUUUGAUCAUGGCUCAGGAUGAACGCUGGCGGCAUGCUUUACACAUGCAAGUUGAACGAAUUAAAGUUUUCGAACUUUAGUUAAGUAGCGAACGGGUGAGUAAAACGUAAGAAUCUAUUUUUAGGUGAGGAAUAACUAAUGGAAACGUUAGCUAAUACCUUAUAAACUGAGAAGUGAAAAACUAAAAAUUGCCUAAAAGUGAGCUUGCGCCUGAUUAGCUUGUUGGUAAGAUAAUCGCUUACCAAAGCGACGAUCAGUAGUUGAUCUAAGAGGAUAAUCAACCACACUGGGACUGAGAUACGGCCCAGACCUCUACGGAGGGCAGCAGUGAGGAAUUUUCCGCAAUGGGCGAAAGCCUGACGGAGCAAUGCCGCGUGAAGGAUGAAGGCCUAUGGGUCGUAAACUUCUUUUCUUAAUGAAGAAAUAAGACGGUAAUUAAGGAAUAAGCAUCGGCUAACUCCGUGCCAGCAGCCGCGGUAAUACGGAGGAUGCAAGCGUUAUCCGGAAUUAUUGGGCGUAAAGGGUUUGUAGGCUACUUUUUAAGUCUACUGUUAAAGAAUAAGACUUAACCUUAGAAAAGCAGUAUGAAACUAAAAGGAUAGAGUUCAGUAGGGGUAGAGGGAAUUCUCGGUGUAGUAGUGAAAUGCGUAGAUAUCGAGAGGAACACCAAUAGCGAAAGCACUCUACUAGGCUGUAACUGACGCUAAGAAACGAAAGCUAGGGGAGCCAAUGGGAUUAGAUACCCCAGUAGUCCUAGCUGUAAACGAUGGAUACUAAGUAUUGGAUAAUAAAAAAUUCAGUGCUGUAGCUAACGCGUUAAGUAUCCCGCCUGGGGAGUAUGCCCGCCAAGGGUGGAAACCUCAAAGGGAGUUGACGGGGGCCCGCCACAAGCGGUGGGAGCAUG
rnacentral:rRNA from 1 species